CUCACCACAACGACCUGUGUCAGCGUCUCCCGUCCACGUCCUUCGGGGGGUGUGAUGGUUGAGAUUCUGACAGUUCGUCCACCAUGGAACUCUUUUUCUUAUGUAGAGCGUUUCGGACGACAGGUGGCGGAGAACAACUUUGGCAGCUUCCGGCAGCCUGAGCUCACCCUUCACGGGGUUUGAGCUCGGUGUAUGGUUGUCUGUCAGGCAGACUGAUUCCGUUUCCCUUUUGCUAGGCCGUCGGCCAUUGAUGCUUGGGACUAACCCAGUCGGCUACAUGC
rnacentral:sRNA from 1 species